rnacentral:rRNA from 1 species
CCUACGGGAGGCAGCAGUGAGGAAUAUUGGUCAAUGGGCGCAAGCCUGAACCAGCCAAGUAGCGUGAAGGAUGAAGGCCCUACGGGUUGUAAACUGCUUUUGUAAGGGGAUAAAGUGCUCCACGUGUGCCUUUUUGUAUGUACUUUAUGAAUAAGGGUCGGCUAAAUCCGUGCCAGCAGCCGCGGUAAUACGGAGGGUCCGAGCGUUAUCCGGAUUUAUUGGGUUUAAAGGGAGCGUAGAUGGGGUGUUAAGUCAGUUGUGAAAGUCUGCGGCUCAACCGGACAAGUGCAAUUGAUACUGGCAGCCUUGAGUACAGUUGAGGUAGGCGGAAUUCGUGGUGUAGCGGUGAAAUGCUUAGAUAUCACGAAGAACCCCGAUUGCGAAGGCAGCCUACUAAACUGCCACUGACAUUGAUGCUCGAAAGUGUGGGUAUCAAACAGGAUUAGAUACCCGGGUAGUC